rnacentral:rRNA from 1 species
UACGUAGGGGGCAAGCGUUGUCCGGAAUUAUUGGGCGUAAAGAGCUCGUAGGCGGUUGGGCAAGUCACGUGUGAAAUCUCCACGCUCAACGUGGAGGCGCCACGUGAGACUGCCCUGACUAGAGUCCGGUAGGGGAGCGUGGAAUUCCCGGUGUAGCGGUGAGAUGCGCAGAGAUCGGGAGGAACACCCGUAGCGAAGGCGGCGCUCUGGGCCGGUACUGACGCUGAGGAGCGAAAGCGUGGGGAGCAAACAGG